rnacentral:rRNA from 1 species
CCUACGGGGGGCAGCAGUGGGGAAUAUUGGGCAAUGGGCGCAAGCCUGACCCAGCAACGCCGCGUGAAGGAAGAAGGUCUUCGGGUUGUAAACUUCUUUUGACAGGGAAGAGCAGAAGGCCGUACCUGUCGAAUAAGCCACGGCCAACUACGUUGCAGCAGCCGCGGCAAUACGUAAGGGGGAAGCGUUACUCGGAAUUACUGGGGGUAAAGGGCGUGUAGGGGGGAUGACAAGUCAAGUGUGAAAACCGGGGGCUCAACCCCCGAACUGCAGUUGAAACUGUUGGUCUUGAGUAUCGGAGAGGCAGGCGGAAUUCCUAGUGUAGCGGUGAAAUGCGUAGAUAUUAGGAGGAACACCAGUGGCGAAGGCGGCAUGCUGGACGGCAACUGACGGUGAGGCACGAAAGCGUGGGGAGCAAACAGGAUUAGAUACCCGAGUAGUC